rnacentral:lncRNA from 1 species
ACGUGAUUUUUGGCGUGGUGAAGCGAGGCAUCGAAACAUGUCGCUACGGUCCCUUCCCUUUGGAAAGGUCGGGUGUUCGUGAGAACCGUCCGCCCCCCGGGUGGAUCUGUACCACCGUUACGGACUCGGAGGAGUGAGGGCGACCGGGACGUGAGGGCCGGACGGCGGAUGUGACAGCAGACGGACUGAGAGGUCGAGAACCGCCAAAUCCAGCUAACUGUCAGCUAGCCUCCAUACAGUGAAGGCUAACUGGUUAGCUCACCUCCAUGGCAGGUUGUUGGUGCUGCAGUCAGGAGCUUUCACUGCAACAAGUAUUGGUUCUUACUUCUAUCAAACACAGAUGGAUAAUCGAUUAAAAAAAGCUUUAUAGAGUCUUUUAUCAGAGUGAGGUGAUGAACAGGUUAGCCUUUUAGCCUCACCUGAUUCAGACUCACAGAGAGAGAGAGAGAGAGUCUUAGCGGUCGCUGCAUGUUUGCUGUCUGCUCUUCAGGUGUGCAUGGAAAGGUGAGGUGAGCUGUUCCCUUUAGUCCCUGCAGACCCCCCCUCAAGGACAGGAGCGUGUUAGGAGGUAGGAUACAUCCUUUAUGAGGGGAUUGGUCACCUCCUCAGAGUCUAACUGUGUCCUUGAGAUAGAUGUGGAUCUAGAGUGAUGGGGAUUCCUGCUGUACUCAGUGAUCAUGGAUUUAUGGUUUCCAAAAGGCUCUUUGUUCAGUAUUUACCACUAUAAUUUGAUUAAUAAGUUUAAUUUAACAUGUUUGGACCUGAUAUAUCACCCAUGAAUAUUUUCUCUGCAACUGCACCAUGACCGUAGGGCUGGGCGAUAAAACGAUAACUAAUAAUUAAUUUCCCUCAAUAUCAAUUUAAAACUUUAAAACAUGAUCAAUAGGCUUUUCAAUAGUCGGCAUUCUGCCAUGUUUGGUAAACUAUACGAAUAGUAGGGCUGGGACGAUAUGCUUUUCUCCCAAUUCGAUUCCUCUAUGAUUUUUUUGAUGCAAUGUUUAAAUUGUGAUUCUAUGAUGUUGUCAUUUUUCUCGAUUUUAAGUCAUUUUUAACACCAGUGAAACAGCCUAAUGAUUUCCAUAUUUCCCCAAGAGACACACAUCACAUGUCAGUCAUUUUUUAAGAAUUAUUCUUAAAUUUGAAAAAAAAAAAAAGUCAGAUUAGUCAGUUUAAUUUCACAUGUUUGGACCUGACGUUGUAAACACUGUAUUGUAUGGAAGCCCUUAGUGGGCAUGCAUCCAUGCUCUUGAGUAACUGGAUUGACCCGACUAUCAGGUUGUUUUUCAUAUGAAUACAUCAGACAAAAAUAGACUCGUCUUUUAUUCAGGGAUCAGCGAUGAGAGUCGUACGGUAGUGUUGUGCUUCAUGCCUCUGUGAGCUGGUAAAAAUGACAUCCUGCCUUUUUUUUAAGAUCUUGACUUUGAACACUGAGGUGGGGCGUGUGAGAGGCUGUUCCUUCUUUACGACCAGCUGGACCUUGUAAACAAAACAAAACAGGAGGACACGUUCACGUCAAUAGUUCUGCAUGUAUACGCGGACAAGAAGAGAAGUCCAAUUUGGCAAAAAAAAAACGAAUUAUGAGCUCAGUCCGAUUAAACUGUGGAUGUGAAGGCACUGAGUGUCGACCACAGAAAAUAGCUGUAGAUUUGUCUUCUCGUCAUCCCUGGAUUUCAUGUCUAAUUAUGGAGAGAUGAGGCUGUGAAGCGUCCUUCAUGGAUGAUAAUUCUUUAAGUGGUUUCUCAUAUUAAACCCUUUUUCUUUACCAUUUCUUGACACAAAGAAACUGAAAAGCUUCCAAACG